rnacentral:misc_RNA from 1 species
AAGUCGUAACAAGGUUUCCGUAGGUGAACCUGCGGAAGGAUCAUUAUCGUAUCUCCGAGGAGGCGAUCGGUCGUGACCUGCUCCGGCACCCUCGCGGGUCCGUGCAGCGGCCGCCGUCGCCGACUCAAAACCCACAAACCCCCACUGUGCUCCUUUCACGGCUGGCGGCGCUUGCGCCCGAGGCCGCAUUACAAAACAAACCCCAGUUCAAAAGAAUGUCCAAGCGAACUCCGAUUCGCCUACAAUUUGAAACAACUUUCAACAACGGAUCUCUUGGCUCUC